AUAUAUAAUGAUAUUACCUAAAUAAUAUAAUUGACUAUUAACAAAAAUUAAUUCACCUAAGAAUUUAUAUUUUUAAAAUCACCUUUUUAUGGUGUUAGUAGUUUCUGGUCUUGGAUCUGCUCAGUGAGUCGAUGGCUUCAGACAAUACAAACCAAUAAUCAAGGAAAAUUUGUACUCAAUGCAAAAAGUGGAAUGAUUUUUGUGAUAACAGAUCUCGAUGACAUUAAUAACGACUGUCAGUGUGUUUCAGCGUUUAAUGGAUUUAAAAACAUAAUUGCUGGCUUCACUAAUACUUCAGUUAUACCAUGUACACAUUUUGACGUUGAAUUAGAAGAAAAUGAAAAUAAAUAACCAGCUAUUUUAUUAAUUGUUUAAUUUUUACUAUAGUUAAUCCAAAUUUUAAAUCAUGUUUACUAUUUUCCUGUCAUAUUGUAGACAAAAAUUAAAAUUAAUUUGAAUUCAUAAAUUGUAUUUGUUCUAAUAGACAACAGUAACUAGUUGAAGUCGUUAUAUAUUAUAAUAUCAUUUCAUCAUAUUUUAUGACACAAGUGUGCUCAAAAAAAUACGUUAAAUUUAUAAAUGAUUAUAAACAUUUUAAUAAUAUACGUAAUAUAAAAUUAUAAAUGUGCGAGGAAAAAAAUAAUAUAAUAUAGAUAUAAUAUUAUGUAUAAUUUAAGUCUUAGCGUGUUAGUUAUUAACAUAGGUAAGUCCCGAGAAGAAUAUUGUAUCGAGGCAACAUAAUAUUAUGUUGUUUAAUGCCGCCGCUGACGUGCGUGCGAAGUGAGUUCCGCUCAUAGACCUAUAAACUAGUUUAUAGGUCUAUGGUCCCGCGCUGCUGUUAAAGGUUUUGGAAGGAGCGUUAUACCUAGAUGUGAGGGCGAGACCGUUUUCGACCAAAAACGUAUGCUUCCCUUAUCGGUUUUUAUAUCGGUAAAUUUAAAAUAGGUCGGACGACUACGAGCUGGUUCCCAAUUGUCGAAUUUGUCGGUUGUCUACAGGUAACAUAUGAAUAUUGGUUCCCGCAAGCUUUUAUGGUAAUACUAUCCUGUUAAAUUAACUUUUCAAAUUAUUAUCAUAUAUUCAAUCAGCAACAAUUUUCUUCUCAUUUUAUACAGACUCAGGACACUAUCUAGAAUACCUAUAGGUAUGGUUAAAAAUGUUGGUCAGUAUAAUAUAUUCAUAUUAUACGCUACAUACUCGUAUGUAUUGGUCAAUAAUAAUAUUUUUUCCUUACAUUAAUAACAAUAAUCAUUUAGUGAAACUAAACAAUUACUACUAGAUACAACUAGAUAUAAAAUUAUAUUUAUAAACUUUUCCAGACAUCGUAAAAUCUAAUAAGAUUAUCGAUUUGUACAUAUUUCAUAUCAGUUGUAUACUGAUAAGUAAUUUUAUUUGGGAACCAAUUCAAACAGUCGUAUAUUGAUAAGUAAUUUUUUCGGGAACCAAUUCCGCAUUACUCAAUAAGUCGAUUCCCUUUUCGACCAAAAUUGUACCCUUCCUUUUUCGGCCAUAUUUAAAAAAGACAAUUCCCUUUUUGACUAAAACAACAAUUAAUAUAAUAUAAAAUUAUGUAAAAAAUUAAAUAAUUGGUACUUAUAUAAAAUUUAUAAAUCUAUGGAUAUUAUAUAAUUAUAUAAUAAUUGUUAAAAUGAUUAAAACUAUAAUUUAUAUACUUAUACUUUUAAUAAUUUUCAAAAUUAUAUGAUUGCCAUAAUUAUACAAAAAUUUUAUAAAAAUUAUGUAUCAAUUAUUUUAUUUUUUCUAAUAUAUUAUAUAAAUUUUCGUUUUGACAGAAAAGGGAAGGGUAUGAUGUGUAAUCGUAUGCAUUACAAGUCUCCGUGGACUGGGCUUGAAAUGUGGGCGGGAAAAUUUUCGGCUAAAAUGAAGCUUUCCCUUUUUGGCCAAUUUUGAAUGUCCGUUUUCGACCAGUACACUAUUUGGUCACCAAUGAAAUAUUCUUCACGUUUUUUUGUCGCAUUCACAAUUGUAUAGAUGUUAGAUACCAUACUUAUGACAUAAUUUAACGUUAUUUAUCACUGGCCAUUUAACUAUUUUAUAUUAUUAUUAUUUUCUAAUUAUGUAAAAUGUUUAAUCACUUAGAUUACUUUAUUGUAUUUAUAUAUAUAUAUAUAUAUAUUGUCUAAUUUAAAACCUAACCCUCCAACACAAGUCUCUGCUAGUAGGGGGUGAUCGAACUUAUUAUGUUAUAUUUAUGAGAACUAUGUUGUUAUUUGUUUGCAAAUAUAUUAUUAAUAUCAUUAUUAUUAUUGUUAUUAUUAAUUGUUUAUUGUUUUAGAUCAUUAUUAUAAAUGUAUUAAAUUUAGGGAAAUAUAUAAUUUAUCAUCAUAUUUUAGUAUUAAUGUUAUUCCAAAAGUAACCUAAAAAUUUAAAAUCAAGUACUUAAUUGUUUUACACGGAAUUAAGUAAUUAACCAGGGCUCGGGACUUAAAAUCAAUAAAAUAAGCAUUUAAAAAACUUAAAUUUGAGAAAAAUUAUUUAAUCAAAAAAUAAAAAUCAAUUUUUUUUACAUGAUAAAGUAGGUACUAAACAUAAUAAUUUGUAACUGUGAUAAAAAUAAUAUAAUUAAAGAUUACAAAAAAUAUUGAAACACAAUGAUUAGGAAAACUUUCUAACUAAAAAAUCGAGAAAAAAUUUAAAUCUUUAUACAACAAAAAAAAUCAAACUUCACUUUCGAGACAUUUUGCCUUGUUGUUUAUAGAUUUUCUGAGGAAUUUUCUGAAAAAAGUAGAAAAACUGGUCAAAAAAGCAAAAAUGAUCAGAAAAACUGGAAAUAAGUAUCUUUUUAAUAAAAAAUCGCUGAAAAAAGGCACUUUAAAAUGUAAUAAUUGAAAGUGUUGUAACAUGAUAUACACUUCAAUAGAACUCUGCUACAUUUUAAGUCAAUCCAUAAAAAUAAGCAAAUGUUUUAAGUCCCAAACCCUGAUUAUAAUUAUUAACUUGCAUUUUAAUAUUCUUUUAGGAUAUAAUUUUGAAGAAUUGAACAACAUAGUCGACUUUUAUGAAAUGGACACGUUUGGACUGAAUGCAUGCAAUCCAGAUUAUUAUAAUGGCAGAACUCCAAUUACAAAAAGAGAGCACGGUCGUAAUUAAUACUAAGGACUGGAAGAAGUAUUAUCUUAUCUAAAGGAAUCAAAAAUAUGUUUUACAAAAUUAGUUUUUGAUAUUGAACUGUACCCAUUUAACUCCAAUGGAACAACUUAUUCUUCUUAUGCUGAAAUAUGUUCAGGAAAAUUUGAUAAUUCAACUUGGUGUGUGCAAACAUCAUUAGAUUUUUAUAAAAAGAAAAUUAAAACCUACGACCAUUAAACAAAUUUACAAAUGAUCAAAAAAGUGGAAUAAUUGUUGCAAUAAUAGAUCUCGAUGACAUUAAUAAUGACUGUGGGUGUACUGCGGCGUUCAAUGGAUUUGAAAACAUAUAUGCUGGAUUCACUAGUGGUUCAACAUCACCAUGCAAGAACUUUGACGUACAAACAUAAAAAUAUUCAAUUCAA